GUGUUAUAGAAAACAGUUAAGAUGGGGAAAAAGAAGAUAACAACCGUCCCCUGGAUGACUCCUGUGUCAUUUUAUGCAAAGCGACUCCGAAUAUCAAACAGAUCACAAUACAGACAAGAUGGAGAUGGGUGACAUCUGGGAUGGAAAGUCUCAGCGGAGACGACAAAACGUAAUUCUGUAAGAAGAGGACAAAAGACAGUCCAGCAGGGAGUAGUGAAGCUAGGGAUGGCAGCUCGGUCAGGGGGCUGGCAACAAGACGGCAUGGGGUCGGUGAGUGUCCGCACAAGCAAGCAAUCGUCUGCUGUUGGCCGACAAUAUCUGGCAGUCUGCAUUCUGUCUCUACCAGAACAAUCUGUCUCUGUUCUCAGAAGCGGAAUGGUAAACAAUGGCGAAUGGUAAGAGAAAUACGGCCGGUUUUCGACGCAGUCUUUCUCUUACAAAUAAACUGCACUGACACCUCUGCCGUACAUCUCGCAAAGUGAUGACAUGAUUUCAAACUUGCACGUUAACAAGCCGCAACACCUGGCAAUGUUGCAGAUGAUUCCCUCCCCCGACAAUAGCAGCCAACGGAUGGCGAUUCAGCAAAAACACGUGCACGGGAUAAAAUAUACUGCUUGCACAUGGAAGGAAAUAUACGAACGAGGUCAGCCUUGUUAACUGUAACUGUUCGCAACGGAUGCUUCUCUCGUUUUGCCCAUCUAAAUGAAGCGAAGAAUGGCUUUAAACGACCAUCUUAAUUUAUGUCAAGCUGGAUGAAUAGAUGGGCGAGUGGGUGCCAACCUAGACCUAUCUCAGGCGGAACUGUUCGGAGUGAAUUAUUGAAUCUUUAGUACAUCAUAUAAAAAAUGAUAAAUGCAUAAAAGAAGACUGGCUCUCGAAGCGAUGUAUAUGCUUGUAUUUAUUUAUGAGAAAAUUCGCAGUUCGUAGGAAAUUUAUCAAUUCUCUAUAUGGAAGUGCAUUCGUCACUAAACUGACCAAAAGGAGACUGCAUCAGACACGCCUUCAGGCAGGCGGGGGUGGAGCAACUUCAGUUUGAAGUCCUCCAUUGGGUUAUGGUUGCUUAGCAACCGACAUCCAUAAGAGGAGGAGGAGAUCUUACAAACAUUUUAUGGAACCGUAAAAUGAAAAAUAUUUAUUGCUCAACGAGUUACACAAAGUCUAUUUUACAUCCGAUGGCAUAAAAUAGCUAUUUUGAAAGUGGAGUCGAGUCGCGCAUACCGUUCGUGUGUUGUUUCUUUUCCGUCUCAGCAAGACACUAUACGAAACAUAAAGAACUUGUUGAACGAAUCCGACUUUGAGUAGUUGAUGCGGAAACACAAGCUUCCAGACAGAAAUCGAUCAAGGAAAUCUUUUACUCUUCGUAACAUUAAUUAUCGUAUAACAUAAAUAUACUCGACAACAUCAACAUAUAAAUUAUAGUAAUUUAAUUAAUAAAGAGUGGCUUUAUAUCUACAGAAUUUACAUUUUUCUAUUUAGAUAUGGAAAGAUUCUAAACUUAUAACCUUGUACUGUAGAUAUAAAUUUUUCUUCAGAUGAAUAAUGAACCACUUAGAGUAAGUAAACAACUUCCAUUGUUCUAAGAAAAGAAGUCAUCAAUCGAUAUAUAAUUGCAUGUAAAUGUACAAUUAGAAAUUGAUAAAAGCGGAAGAACCAAUGAAUUCUCCAUUAUCGAUUCAUAUUUACAUUAAUAAGGACUCGAAAGUUCUAUUAAGUGUCCAAUGUAGUGAUGAAGUAAAUAAACUUAUACGAAAUUUGACCAUUUUUUCAUCUUUAUCAAAAUUUUUACGUAUAUUUUAUGCUUACUUUAUAACAGUUUUUAAUAGUCAGUAUCAUUAAUCUAUUUAUAUAAUUCCUUAUUAAUACAGGACCAGACUAAUUAAUUAAGUUUCAGUAUAAGAAAUAUUUUCAUCGAAAACUGUAGGCUUGUAGCUAGAUAUAAAUUAAAGAUAAAGAAACUAAAUACGGAUAUUUUUUUUAAUAAUAAUUAAAAUAAAUUAUCUUAAACAUUAAUCUAUUUGUUCAUACAUAUGCAAGAAUAGAAUUUCCAUAAGAAUAAUGUAUUUUCAGUAUUAAUAAAGAUAAAUUUUGACUUAAGAAUUUAAUUUAAAUCCAAAACAAUAACUAAAUAAGAUAAGAAACAGAAAUAAUAGAUUAAAUUUCGGGUCCAAAAUAGAAUCAAUGAUAGAAGAUGAUGUCGUUUAGAUAGGGUCUUGGAUUUUAUCCAAGAAUUUUGCAAAAAAUUUUUAAGUUUAUAUAUAAAUAACAGGCAUAGAUCCUCUAUGAAAUUAGUAGUUUAAAUAAGAAGUUUAAGUGAGAAUAUUUUAUAAAAAAAAUAAUCUCAUAUAAGUCUUAAAUAUGAAAUUUGAGCAUUUAAAACUUUAAA